UUCAAUGAACUGUAUAGUGGUUUUAUUCACAGAGCUGGCUUUCUACUGAGCUUCGCACCUUCAGUAAACCAGCUCCAUGGUUUGCUAGCAUGCUAGCUUCAGCUGAGUUAAUUUAAAAUGGAAAAUGAAACUAAUUACUCAAGUGUGGCUAGUUGGCAGCACUGGCAGGUAUAAAUGAAAUAAUGUUAGCUGCGAACUAGCUGCCUACUUAACUAGCAGCUACCUAGCUAUUCUUCAGAUAUUUCAUUACAACAGCGUACUAGUAAUCGUCUGUGCUAUUAACUAUAAUUAAAACUAAAAUACUGAACAACAGCAGCCAGUGACAUUAACUCCAGUUAAAAGUGAGCUAUAGUGAACCAGCUAGCUGCUAGCAGUUUCCACCUGCCACCCGUAACGUUGACGUUAGCCACCUAGUCUAGAAGAAAAAUGCUUCACUUCAGGGCGAAAACAGUGUUGGGGAAAACGAGUUUAAAGUUAGCUGGUUUUGAUAACGGUACCGAGCGAGUGUGGUCGUAGGAAUGAAGACGGCACCGAAACGAAACACCCAAAUCUGUAUUGCAAUCCUGUAGAUAGGCCAUAAAUGCUACCGGGUUUCGCUACCAAAGCCUGUUUAGGCCGCUGCGUGACUACAAGGUAAUGAAACGAAUGAAAACCUCGGCCUACCUUUGCAGACUUCGCCAAUCCACGCACUGGCUUGUUCCGCAGGCCUGCAACCGGGUGCCAUUGCCAGUCAUGGUCAUUUUAAGUUUGUGAAAAGAGGUGUGGAGGUGGUGGACGGAUCGGGGUUGGAGUGAGGACAUGCGGUAGGAGGGAGGCCAGAGGUGGGAGGGUGAGGUGGGGGUGGUAGAUCAUGGCCCCCAAAAGAUUUCCAAUUUUUUGGCAGCUAUCCAAAUGAAGGGAGUCGGAGGUGGGAGGAAUAAACCGGAAGGCUGUACAUGUGUGUACGAGGGACUGAGGGAGGGAGAGAGAGAGAAGAGAGAGAGAGAGAGAGAGAGAGAGAGAGAAAUGAAGCCGUCCGGUGGCAUCCAGACGCCUCACACCCUCGGCCGCUCUCUCCCUCAUUUCCAAGGGCUUUGUUCCAUCUGUCACCGCUGCUAUUGUGGCCGGGGGGCUCGCGGCUGCGUUAAGCGGGGGUAAUGUAAUUAGAUUGAGACGUUUAGCAAAUCGAAUGCAGAUGGCUUUCAACAGGGGGAGAGAGACAGGGGAGAGGAAGUGGGGUGCAUAUGAGCGGACAGGCGGCGAGGGGAUGGGGGGGUGGCGGGGGGGGUGAGUGGGAGAAUUGCGAGACACCUUUGUGCUGCCGAGUGCCGGAACAUGCAUAUUGAACAACC